GGAAUAUAAAACCGUUCAUGUCAUGAAGAAUUUUCUAUGCCUGAGUGCAUACUAUCUUGUUAUUGAUAUAGGAGGCUCUCCACCAAAAGACUCCAAAUGGAAAGAUCUACCUGGUAAAGCCUUUGUAGAGAACUUGGUGGCGAUCAGAAAAGCUUUCAAUACUACUGUAGUUGUUCUGUUUUGUUGGGGUUUUGUCAGACCAUGUGCUGUAAGAGAACAAAAACUUUCUCCAACCCCUUUCAGAAGCUUAUACCAAACUUGAAUAGUCCCCAUGGCACAGUAAGAUCUUUGAAUCCUUGAUACGUACAUGGAUGCGUAAGUGGAGAUCUGGAGGUCUCAAAGGUGAUGCAAACACGAUGCAGAAUCACUGGUGGAGAUGUGGUGGGAUCAGAACUUGCAAUGCUACCCCUGAAUAUGAAAGAGUAAGGAGUGGCAGCAUAGCCCUCUCCUUGGUUACCAAGUUCAUGUAUCAAAUCAAGUGGAUGAUCUCACCACCACCCCGGAAGACUUCAUGUUUCUCCCAGAACUGUUCGCAUGUCCAGUUCUUCGGUCUCUAAACUGCUCGAUCUAGUGUAGUGCCCACUUGUUGGCUACAAGAAUAGCUUUCAGUAUCACUAUAGCUGUUCUAUUCUGCUGGGGUUGUCUCGGACCAUGUGCUGUAAGAGAACAAUAACUUUCUCGAAGCCCUUUCAGAAGCUUAUAAUAAACCUGAAAAGUUCCCAUGGCACAGUAAGACAUUCGAAUCCUUGAUACCUACAUGGAUGAGUAAGUGGAGAUUUGGAGGUCUCAAAGGUGAAGCAAACACAGUGCAGAAUCACUAAUGUGGUGGGAGCAGAACGUGCAAUGCUACAGCUAAUUGUGAAGAGUAAGAAAUGGCAGCAAAGUCCUCUCCUUGGUUACCAAGUUCAUAUAUCAAAUCAACUGGAUGAUCUCACCUCCACACUAGCAGACUUCUUGUUUCACCCAGAAGGUUUCUCUUACUAUUGGUAUCAGAACUGUGUACAUGUCCAGUUCUUCGGUCUCUUAACUGUAAGCAUACAAACAAUGUUUCCCAAUAUCUGUUGUGCUCAAAAGGCAUCUUAUGCAAGUCCUACAAUUUUGCCGCUUACAAAGUCAGUUUCUUCUUCAUGAGGAAUGAGAUAUUUGAAAGUUGUACUGCUUUUACUUGUAUUCAAUGGAAUAAAUAACAUUUUUUCCCUUCCCCUGCA